GAGCUGCGAUGUUCGUAAUUUACUAAAGUUUAACCUCUAAAUAGAAAUUAGGGAGUUUUAAUCGUAGGUCGGAUGUUAUGCCUCGAUCGAGUGGAAAACAGAAAACCUACUGCAAACACCCACUUUGUAUAAAGUGGUGGUUAAAACUUUUUAAUUUAUUACGGCAUUGUGGCUUA
rnacentral:other from 1 species